CGUCUCGUGGGGUAGUGGUCAUCCUUGCGUUCGCCACGCGCUAUAAUCCGCAGACGCUGGUUCGAUUCCAGACGAGGCUA